GACGAACGCUGGCGGCGUGCUUAACACAUGCGAGUCGAACGGAAAGGCCCUGCUUUUGUGGGGUGCUCGAGUGGCGAACGGGUGAGUAACACGUGAGUAACCUGCCCUUGACUUUGGGAUAACUUCAGGAAACUGGGGCUAAUACCGGAUAGGAGCUCCUGCUGCAUGGUGGGGGUUGGAAAGUUUCGGCGGUUGGGGAUGGACUCGAGGCUUAUCAGCUUGUUGGUGGGGUUGUGGCUUACCCAGGCUUUGACGGGUAGCCGGCCUGAGAGGGUGACCGGCCACAUUGGGACUGAGGUAAGGCACAGACUCCUACUGGAGGCAGCAGUGGGGAAGAUUGCACAAUGGGCGGAAGCCUGAUGCAGAAACGCCGCGUGCGGGAUGACGGCCUUCGGGUUGUAAACCGCAUUCGCCUGUGACGAAGCGUGAGUGACGGUAAUGGGUAAAGAAGCACCGGCUAACUACGUG
rnacentral:rRNA from 1 species